rnacentral:tRNA from 1 species
GCGUCGGUGGUUCAGUGGUAGAAUACUCGCCUGCCACGCGGGUGACCCGGAUUCGAUUCCCGGCCGACGCA